AGUGAACGCUGGCGGUAGGCCUAACACAUGCAAGUCGAACGGCAGCACAGUAAGAGCUUGCUCUUACGGGUGGCGAGUGGCGGACGGGUGAGGAAUACAUCGGAAUCUACUUUUUCGUGGGGGAUAACGUAGGGAAACUUACGCUAAUACCGCAUACGACCUACGGGUGAAAGCAGGGGAUCUUCGGACCUUGCGCGAUUGAAUGAGCCGAUGUCGGAUUAGCUAGUUGGCGGGGUAAAGGCCCACCAAGGCGACGAUCCGUAGCUCGUCUGAGAGGAUGAUCAGCCACACUGGAACUGAGACACGGUCCAGACUCCUACGGGAGGCAGCAGUGGGGAAUAUUGGACAAUGGGCGCAAGCCCGAUCCAGCCAUACCGCGUGGGUGAAGAAGGCCUUCGGGUUGUAAAGCCCUUUUGUUGGGAAAGAAAAGCAGCAGGUUAAUACCCCGCUGUUCUGACGGUACCCAAAGAAUAAGCACCGGCUAACUUCGUG
rnacentral:rRNA from 1 species